rnacentral:rRNA from 1 species
GAUGAACGCUAGCGGCAGGCCUAACACAUGCAAGUCGAGGGAGAAGCCCUUUCGGGGGCAGAAACCGGCGCACGGGUGCGUAACGCGUAUGCAACCUACCUUUCACAGGGGGAUAGCCCGAAGAAGUUUGGAUUAAUACCCCAUAAUAUUAUUGGAUGGCAUCAUUUGAUAAUUAAAACUGCGGUGGUGAAAGAUGGGCAUGCGUCCUAUUAGCUAGUUGGAGUGGUAACGGCACCCCAAGGCUACGAUAGGUAGGGGUCCUGAGAGGGAGAUCCCCCACACUGGUACUGAGACAGGGACCAGACUCCUACGGGAGGCAGCAGUGAGGAAUAUUGGUCAAUGGUCGGAAGACUGAACCAGCCAUGCCGCGUGCAGGAAGAAUGCCUUAUGGGUUGUAAACUGCUUUUAUAAGGGAAGAAUAAGGCGUACGUGUACGUUGAUGACGGUACCAUAUGAAUAAGCAUCGGCUAACUCCGUG